rnacentral:lncRNA from 1 species
GAGAUGGAAAUGGGCAGUAGCUAUGAGGGGAAUAUUGUGGAUGGUGGUGAGUAGGUGAAGAUUUUGGAUGGCAGCGAGGAGGAGGUGAAGAUUUGGGAUGGGGGCGAGGAGGAGGUGCAGAUUUGUGUGGACUGCGGAGGGAGGGAAGGGGAACUAAUGGUGGAAAGUUUUUGGAUGUGGAAGAUUUGGGCGGAGGGAGGGAAGGGACAAGAUAUUUGGCCAAUUGGGUGGAUGGCCUUGUCAUAUUACCAAUAUACCCUUUUACUAUGGUGGUGGAUGAAACAGGUUUGUUGUUGGGAAGGAGGGAGGAAAAUUGACAUUUCACAUCUGUCACACAGCUUGGCCCGAGCGUCCGAAUAUUUGAAUAGCACGCCGGAAAGAUUUUGGGGCUGGUCCGCACCAGGUAAUGGUGACUAAAGGAUUUUUGGCUUAGUAGAAUAUGCCGGACAAAAAUUUGAAUAGUGAAAUGUCUAGUAGUCUAUUAAUGGACGUUUCUGAUUCUUGGUACAAUCAGAGUAACCUGUACCAAAACUUUAUUGCUAGAAUCAGGAGAAUCUAGACCUAGAUUCAACAAAUUUUCAUUCGAAAUCUUUGGUGUAUCAUGAGAACACCUUCAAAAAGCUGGAUAUUCCAUUGUUUAGUAUCACUCCCUCCGUUUAUGUACUGCUCCGCUUAUAUUGAAGUAUGUUGUUAGAUACUACUCCCUCCUUUUAUAAGGUGUAUGCGCAAAAGUGUAAUAAGGGAGACAGUGUCAUACCAUAUCACGUCUUAUAAACAAAAACAGAGGGAGUACUUAUGAUGGAGAAUUGAUAUACAUAUUGAGUUUUACAUUGGAAACCAAAGAAACCUCCUGUCUAUUCAGUGUGCUUACUACGAUUGGAAAUCCUUGUACCAUCCCGACAACAUUGGAAAUCCUUGUACCAUGUCUUCCAUUGGAUGUGUUUACUAUAUAUAUUGAGUUUUACAUUGGAAAACCAAAGAAACCUCCCGUCUAUGUAUUGAGUUGCAUGUGCUUACAUUGAAGAUUAAAUUGGAUUUGCUAAGUACUCAAUCAUGCGCAUAUUGGAGAUCAAACAUCCCUCCCUUUGGUUGCAUGUGCUUACUUACACAUAUGUUAACAUUGGAAACCAAAGAAAUCUCCCAUCGAUUGGGUGUGCUUACUACUUAUUCAUGUGCACAUUGGCAAUCAAACAUCAUUUUUCCUAAUUGAAUUUGCUAACUACUCAAUCAUGCGCACAUUGAAGAUCAAACAUCCUUCCCUCUGAUUAAAUGGCUCCCUUGGAUUAAGUAGCUCUGAACAUAGUUUUGGGUUACAUUGAAGAUUACAAACCAAAAUGCUACGAAGGUAGUUUUGGGUUCCUUGUAUCAAUAGCAUCACUCAUUACAUGAUGGCGAGGUCGGAGAAGUCUCCUUUUUGGGUGGUGGAAGACUAGACCCUGCCACGCUUCUAUUCCCACAUCUAUCCAUAAUUUUAAUCCACUCCGUCGACUCAAACAGUUGGAAAUCCGAGUCUUCAAUGCCCCUAGAGCAGUUAGAUGAUCUAGCUUCAUCCGCAACUUGAAGACGACGUGGAAGCCUAUCCGCUUGGUCAUUCUGCACCCCAUUGGAACUAGACCAGUUAUAAGACUUGUGCAACUCGAGUACAAACUCCACGAGAUCACCAAUAGUUAAAACUUGAGCACAAAGCUUGGGCAAAUAUUAUUACAAGGCUCAACGAAAUAGUUGGUUCGUACAUGACUAUCUAUGAAGAAG